rnacentral:rRNA from 1 species
CUGGCUAUAGGAAAUUGUUAGUGGCAGACGGGUGAGUAAUGCGUAGGAAUCUACCUAGUAGUACGGAAUAGCCAUUAGAAAUGGUGGGUAAUACUGUAUAAUCCCCGAGGGGGAAAGAUUUAUCGCUAUUAGAUGAGCCUACGUUAGAUUAGCUAGUUGGUGAGGUAAUGGCUUACCAAGGCUAUGAUCUAUAGCUGGUCUGAGAGGACGAUCAGCCACACUGGAACUGAGAUACGGUCCAGACUCCUACGGGAGGCAGCAGUGGGGAAUAUUGGACAAUGGGCGAAAGCCUGAUCCAGCUAUGCCGCGUGAGUGAAGAAGGCCUUCGGGUUGUAAAACUCUUUCAAUAGGGA